rnacentral:rRNA from 1 species
GUGCCUACGGGGGGCAGCAGUGGGGAAUAUUGCACAAUGGGGGAAACCCUGAUGCAGCGACGCCGCGUGAGUGAAGAAGUAUCUCGGUAUGUAAAGCUCUAUCAGCAGGGAAGAAAAUGACGGUACCUGACUAAGAAGCCCCGGCUAACUACGUGCCAGCAGCCGCGGUAAUACGUAGGGGGCAAGCGUUAUCCGGAUUUACUGGGUGUAAAGGGAGCGUAGACGGCGAUGCAAGUCUGAAGUGAAAGGCGGGGGCCCAACCCCCGGACUGCUUUGGAAACUGUAAAGCUGGAGUGCAGGAGAGG